rnacentral:lncRNA from 1 species
CGGCGCCAGCGACCCGGGCGCCUGGGCCGUAUGGGGCUAUAGGGGCCCUGGGCUGUAUAGGGCUGUGGGUUUCGUGGUCCGGGUGGGGCUAUAGAGACCGGUCUAUAUGGGGCUGCGGGGUCCCUGGGCUGUAUGGGGCUAUAGGGGCCCUAAGCUGCAUAGGGCUUUGGGUUCCCUGGGCCAUAUAUGGGGCUAUAGGGACCGGGCUGUGGGUUUCGUGGUCCGGGUGGGGCUAUAGAGACCGGUCUAUAUGGGGCUGCGGGGUCCCUGGGCUGUAUGGGGCUAUAGGGGCCCUAAGCUGCAUAGGGCUUUGGGUUCCCUGGGCCAUAUAUGGGGCUAUAGGGACCAGUCUAUUUGGGACUAUGAGUUCCCUGGGCCAUAUGGAGUUAUAGGGGCCAUUCUAUAUGGGGCUGUAGGGACCAGGCCAUACAGGGCUAUAGGGGAUCCUGGUCCAUAUAGCUCUAUAGAGAGUGGUUUGUAUGUCAUUAUAGAGCCCCAGUCCAUAGGGGGCUAUAGAGACUGAGCUAUAUAGGACUACGGGGAUACAGGUCUGUAUUAGACUAUAGGAACAGACUGUUUAGAGCCACAGUGAAUGGGCUAUACAGGGCUAUGGGGACCCUGGGCCAUAGGGGCCAUGAAGGUUGAGCCACUGAGGCUUUAGCAGCUGGUCCGGAGGGGCUAUGGGGGGGCAUUGGUCCCUAUGGGGAUAUAGGGACUGCUCCACAUGGGUCUGUGGGGCUAUAGAGACCAGCCCAUAUAGGGCUAUGGGGGCGGAGUUCAUAUAGGACUACAUGAACUGAUCUAUAUGGGACUUGGGGCAGGCCUGGGCCAUUCAAGAUUAUGGUGAUGGGUUCAUACAGGGCUUGGGGCUAUAGAAGACUGGACCAUAUGGGGCUGUGAGCCAUAUGGGACCGCGGGGACCUCCGGCAGUGUGCAAGUAGCACCCUGAAGUCCCUGGUGAACAAGGGGGUGAAGGUGGACCUGGGGGUCCCCGUGGAGCUGUGGGACAAGUCCUCAGCCGAGGUGACACAGCUGAAGCAGCAGGUGAGACCAUGGGGGGGGGGGUCCUUGUGGGGCCACCGGGGCCCUAAGGGGGUCCCAGGACAUGGAGCGGGAGCGC